GUUUGCACUUGUCGGGGAAGGGUGAGAACCUUCGAUUAAGGUUCGACUCGAGCGAAAGCGAGAGAACGUUGCCAACGGCAACGGCCCGUAGGGUGAGGAGCG
rnacentral:sRNA from 4 species